rnacentral:rRNA from 1 species
GACGAACGCUGGCGGCGUGCUUAACACAUGCAAGUCGAACGAAGUGGCGAACGGGUGAGUAACGCGUAAUCAACCUGCCCUUCAGAGGGGGUCAACAGUUGGAAACGUCUGCUAUUACCGCAAACUGAAUGAGGGGAUUGCGUCUGAUUAGCGUGGUGGAGGGGUAACGGCCCACCAAGGGGAUGAUCAGUAGCCGGUCUGAGAGGAGUAACGGCCAAAUUGGGACGUGGACACGGGCCAGUCUCCUACGGGGGGCAGCAGUUGGGAAAUGUCCGAAAUGGACGAAAGUCUGACGGAGGAACGCCGCGUGAGAGAUGACGGCCUUCGGGUUGUAAAGCUCUGUUAAUCGGGACGCAGUACCGAAAGAGAAAGCAACGGCUAACUACGUGCCAGCAGCCGCGGUAAUUC